GUAUUUCGGUGUUUUGUUCGUACGGUCUAUUAUUUAAUCAUAUUUUUUAAGAUUGCAAAAAAUAUAUAAUUAAUUAAUUAAUUUUUUAAUUAAUUAAAUAAUACUAUAAAAAUAAUACUAUAAAAAAUUUAAACAUCUUUUUAGAAAACAAAGAGAGAGAAUAUAUGUUAGAAAGAGAGAGCAUAAUUAAAGAAAUAGGAAGAGAAAUAGAGUUAAGAUUAGAGAGAAUGAGAGGGUUGAGAUUUUAGAAAAAGACGGAGAGAAAUAACUUAAUUUAGAGAGAGAAAAAGAGUUGAAGUUUAGAGAGAAAAUGAUAAGUUUUGAGAGAGAGAGAUAUGAGGUUAGAGUGUAAAGAAAAAUAAUACCAACUAACCGCCGGAUGGGAAGAAAGACAGAAAUUUGAUAUAUUACAAUUAUCCUAAUCUAUUAAUAAAAUGAUAUCCACUCUUCCUCAAAGGAAUGAGAUUAGUAUUUUGGGAUGCAUCUUAUUUCCAAGUAAAUUUAGUAUUGUUAACUAGAUUACUUAGUGCGUUUAGUUAAAUAUCGUCAUAUUUUUUUAUUCCUAUUAAAUUAUAAAAAAUAUUAAAAAAAUAUCGCGAAUCAAACGCACCCUAAGACCAAUCAUGAUCUAUGAUGAUGGCC
rnacentral:lncRNA from 1 species